rnacentral:pre_miRNA from 1 species
AUUAUACUCCCUCCGUCUGAAAAUACUUGUCAUCAAAAUGGACAAAAAGGGAUGUAUCUAAAACUAAAAUACAUCUAGAUACAUCCCUUUUAUCCAUUUUGAUGACAAGUAUUUCUGGACGGAGGGAGUAUAUA